rnacentral:rRNA from 1 species
CAAAUUGGGUGGUAGACUUCACCUAAGGCUAAAUAUCAGCGAGAGACCGAUAGCGAACAAGUACUGUGAAGGAAAGAUGAAAAGAACUUUGAAAAGAGAGUCAAAUAGUACGUGAAAUUGUUGAAAGGGAAACGAUUGAAGUCAGUCAUGCUAGUGAAAAUUCAGUUUGGUGGGUUUUGGGUUCAGGAGUUGAGGCAGGGUCAAACCGUUUCUCUUUUGAACUUGGAAUUUGUCAGAUGCACUUUUUCUUUGGCAGAUCAGCGUCGAUUUCGGAGGUUGUAAAAUACUUGGGGAAAAGUAGCUCUGCUUCGGGAGAGUGUUAUAGACCUUGGGUGAUGCGGCCUGCGGGAUCGAGGAUUGCAGCAAAUGCUUUUGGCUUGUCGCCUGAUCUCUGGACGUCAUCUCGCUUGUAUCAACAUUCUUGGUACCGGUGAGUAAUGGUGCUCAUAGGUUAGAGCGAUCAA